rnacentral:rRNA from 1 species
GGUGAACGCUAGCUACAGGCUUAACACAUGCAAGUCGAGGGGCAGCAUUUUAGUUUGCUUGCAAACUGAAGAAGGCGACCGGCGCACGGGUGAGUAACACGUAUCCAACCUGCCGAUAACUCGGGGAUAGCCUUUCGAAAGAAAGAUUAAUACCCGAUGGUAUAAUCAGACCGCAUGGUCUUGUUAUUAAAGAAUUUCGGUUAUCGAUGGGGAUGCGUUCCAUUAGGCAGUUGGUGAGGUAACGGCUCACCAAACCUUCGAUGGAUAGGGGUUCUGAGAGGAAGGUCCCCCACAUUGGAACUGAGACACGGUCCAAACUCCUACGGGAGGCAGCAGUGAGGAAUAUUGGUCAAUGGGCGCAGGCCUGAACCAGCCAAGUAGCGUGAAGGAUGACUGCCCUAUGGGUUGUAAACUUCUUUUAUAUGGGAAUAAAGUUUUCCACGUGUGGAAUUUUGUAUGUACCAUAUGAAUAAGGAUCGGCUAACUCCGUGCCAGCAGCCGCGGUAAUACGGAGGAUCCGAGCGUUAUCCGGAUUUAUUGGGUUUAAAGGGAGCGUAGGUGGACAGUUAAGUCAGUUGUGAAAGUUUGCGGCUCAACCGUAAAAUUGCAGUUGAUACUGGCUGUCUUGAGUACAGUAGAGGUGGGCGGAAUUCGUGGUGUAGCGGUGAAAUGCUUAGAUAUCACGAAGAACUCCGAUUGCGAAGGCAGCUCACUGGACUGCAACUGACACUGAUGCUCGAAAGUGUGGGUAUCAAACAGGAUUAGAUACCCUGGUAGUCCACACAGUAAACGAUGAAUACUCGCUGUUUGCGAUAUACAGUAAGCGGCCAAGCGAAAGCAUUAAGUAUUCCACCUGGGGAGUACGCCGGCAACGGUGAAACUCAAAGGAAUUGACGGGGGCCCGCACAAGCGGAGGAACAUGUGGUUUAAUUCGAUGAUACGCGAGGAACCUUACCCGGGCUUAAAUUGCAUUUGAAUAUAUUGGAAACAGUAUAGCCGUAAGGCAAAUGUGAAGGUGCUGCAUGGUUGUCGUCAGCUCGUGCCGUGAGGUGUCGGCUUAAGUGCCAUAACGAGCGCAACCCUUAUCUUUAGUUACUAACAGGUCAUGCUGAGGACUCUAGAGAGACUGCCGUCGUAAGAUGUGAGGAAGGUGGGGAUGACGUCAAAUCAGCACGGCCCUUACGUCCGGGGCUACACACGUGUUACAAUGGGGGGUACAGAAGGCAGCUACCUGGUGACAGGAUGCUAAUCCCAAAAGCCUCUCUCAGUUCGGAUCGAAGUCUGCAACCCGACUUCGUGAAGCUGGAUUCGCUAGUAAUCGCGCAUCAGCCAUGGCGCGGUGAAUACGUUCCCGGGCCU